CAUACAUAUAGAUAUAUAUGCAUAACAAAUGAUGAAUCUGUUUGAGCACCUGUUUUAUCAAAUAAAUUAUCGAAAGAAGCAAGGAGAUAUGCUGCUCAAUAUAUCACCAGCUAUAGCUCAUACAGCUUGUGAUUUUUAUACAAUACCCUGGGCCUACUGCCAUAAUCGAUAAACUCACACCAUGCUUACUAAUGCUUUUGUCUCCAUCGAUAACCAAUUUAUUAGCCAUCACUACAUUUCGCGAAUCUCUUGUAGAUACAAUUUCAUUCGGUUAGACACUUUGAAGCAAAACAUAAUGAUAAAAAUGGUUAUUGUAGAACUAACCUCUUGAUGUGAUGGUCAGGAGUGUUCAGAAUUUUUAAAAAUAAAAUAAGUGGAUUUAUCUUGCAGAUUUUUUAUUAAAAAUAAGUGGUCUGAACAAAAAAAUCUAUUAAUAAAAAAGAAAAAAUACCUACUAUUAAUUUUCUCACGUGUGAACCGUGAACCUGAUGAUUGGGCAAUAAGACGACAUUAGCUUCUAAGCCGAAUCUGGCGGCUUGUGGCCGCUAUUCCCUCUCUC
rnacentral:lncRNA from 1 species